GACGAACGCUGGCGGCGUGCCUAAUACAUGCAAGUCGAACGAGAGCGACCGGUGCUUGCCUUGGUCAAUCUAGUGGCGAACGGGUGAGUAACACGUGGGUAACCUGCCCAUCAGAGGGGGAUAACAUCCGGAAACGGAUGCUAAAACCGCAUAGGUCUUCGAACCGCAUGGUUUGAAGAGGAAAAGAGGCGCAAGCUUCUGCUGAUGGAUGGACCCGCGGUGCAUUAGCUAGUUGGUGAGGUAACGGCUCACCAAGGCCGUGAUGCAUAGCCGACCUGAGAGGGUGAUCGGCCACAUUGGGACUGAGACACGGCCCAAACUCCUACGGGAGGCAGCAGUAGGGAAUCUUCCGCAAUGGACGCAAGUCUGACGGAGCAACGCCGCGUGAGUGAAGAAGGUUUUCGGAUCGUAAAGCUCUGUUGUUAGAGAAGAACAAGUGUUAGAGUAACUGUUAGCGCCUUGACGGUAGCUAACCAGAAAGCCACGGCUAACUACGUG
rnacentral:rRNA from 1 species